rnacentral:miRNA from 1 species
UGAUAGUGUCAACUAGUACAG